rnacentral:rRNA from 1 species
GCUUGUCUCAAAGAUUAAGCCAUGCAUGUCUAAGUAUAAACAAAUCUAUACUGUAUAUCAGAUAUAGUUUAUUUGAUGGUUCUUGCUACUUGGAUAACCGUAGUAAUUCUAGAGUUAAUACAUGAAUCAAACCUCGACUUUUUUGGAAGAGGUGUAUUUAUUAGAUGGAAACCAAUGCGGGGCAACCCGGAUUCAGGUGAUUCAUAAUAACUUUCAGAUCGAUCUUCGGAUCGAUGCAUCAUUCAAGUUUCUGCCCUAUCAGCUUUGGAUGGUAGGGUAUGAGCCUACCAUGGCUUUAACAGGUAACGGAAUAUUAGGGAUCGAUUCCGGAGAGGGAGCCUGAGAAACGGCUACCACAUCCAAGGAAGGCAGCAGG